rnacentral:antisense_RNA from 1 species
GAUAGCCAAAAAUACGCACAGGAUCUAAGUUGGGUUGAACUAGACGCACUUGCUCUACAACAGGGUCAUAUAAUCCUCCCCAUUGAACCGCUUUUAAAACCAAGAGACUAGAUCCUAUUCCCAGUAAGAUCAGAUGAAUGCCCAGAAUACUAGUCAUUUUCUUACCAUCAGUCCA